GACGAACGCUGGCGGCGUGCCUAACACAUGCAAGUCGAACGAAGCUUGACGAACGAUUCUUCGGAUGAAUUCUGAUAUGACUGAGUGGCGGACGGGUGAGUAACGCGUGAGCAACCUGCCCUUCAGAGGGGGAUAACGAUUGGAAACGAUCGCUAAUACCGCAUGACAUAGCGGAAUCGCAUGGUUCUGCUAUCAAAGAUUUUAUCGCUGAUAGAUGGGCUCGCGUCCGAUUAGAUAGUUGGUGGGGUAACGGCCUACCAAGUCGACGAUCGGUAGCCGGACUGAGAGGUCGAACGGCCACAUUGGGACUGAGACACGGCCCAGACUCCUACGGGAGCAGCAGUGGGGAUAUUGCACAAUGGGGGAAACCCUGAUGCAGCGACGCCGCGUGAGGGAAGACGGUCCUCUGGAUUGUAAACCUCUGUCUUCGGGGACGAAACGAGACGGUACCCGAGGAGGAAGCCACGGCUAACUACGUGCCAGCAGCCGAC
rnacentral:rRNA from 1 species